GACGAACGCUGGCGGCGUGCCUAAUACAUGCAAGUCGAGCGCUGAAGGUUGGUACUUGUACCAACUGGAUGAGCAGCGAACGGGUGAGUAACGCGUGGGGAAUCUGCCUUUGAGCGGGGGACAACAUCGGGAAACGAAUGCUAAUACCGCAUAAAAACUUUAAACACAAGGUUCAAGUGUGAAAGAUGCAAUUGCAUCACCCAAAGAUGAUCCCGCGUUGUAUUAGCUAGUUGGUGAGGUAAAGGCUCACCAAGGCGAAGAUACAGAGCCGACCUGAGAGGGGGGUCGGCCACAUUGGGACUUGGACCCGGCCCAAGCUCCUUCGGGAGGCAGCAGUAGGGGAUCUUCGGCCAUGGACGGAAGUCUGGCCGGGCCACGCCGCGUGAGUGAAGGAAGGUUUCGGGUCGUAAAACUCUGUUGGUAAGGGAGAACGUUGGUGGGAGUGGAAAGCUCAUCAAGUGACGGUAACUACUCAGAAAGGGACGGCUAACUACGUG
rnacentral:rRNA from 1 species